ACAUGCAAGUCGAGCGAACGGACGAGAAGCUUGCUUCUCUGAUGUUAGCGGCGGACGGGUGAGUAACACGUGGAUAACCUACCUAUAAGACUGGGAUAACUUCGGGAAACCGGAGCUAAUACCGGAUAAUAUUUUGAACCGCAUGGUUCAAAAGUGAAAGACGGUCUUGCUGUCACUUAUAGAUGGAUCCGCGCUGCAUUAGCUAGUUGGUAAGGUAACGGCUUACCAAGGCAACGAUGCAUAGCCGACCUGAGAGGGUGAUCGGCCACACUGGAACUGAGACACGGUCCAGACUCCUACGGGAGGCAGCAGUAGGGAAUCUUCCGCAAUGGGCGAAAGCCUGACGGAGCAACGCCGCGUGAGUGAUGAAGGUCUUCGGAUCGUAAAACUCUGUUAUUAGGGAAGAACAUAUGUGUAAGUAACUGUGCACAUCUUGACGGUACCUAAUCAGAAAGCCACGGCUAACUACGUGCCAGCAGCCGCGGUAAUACGUAGGUGGCAAGCGUUAUCCGGAAUUAUUGGGCGUAAAGCGCGCGUAGGCGGUUUUUUAAGUCUGAUGUGAAAGCCCACGGCUCAACCGUGGAGGGUCAUUGGAAACUGGAAAACUUGAGUGCAGAAGAGGAAAGUGGAAUUCCAUGUGUAGCGGUGAAAUGCGCAGAGAUAUGGAGGAACACCAGUGGCGAAGGCGACUUUCUGGUCUGUAACUGACGCUGAUGUGCGAAAGCGUGGGGAUCAAACAGGAUUAGAUACCCUGGUAGUCCACGCCGUAAACGAUGAGUGCUAAGUGUUAGGGGGUUUCCGCCCCUUAGUGCUGCAGCUAACGCAUUAAGCACUCCGCCUGGGGAGUACGACCGCAAGGUUGAAACUCAAAGGAAUUGACGGGGACCCGCACAAGCGGUGGAGCAUGUGGUUUAAUUCGAAGCAACGCGAAGAACCUUACCAAAUCUUGACAUCCUUUGACAACUCUAGAGAUAGAGCUUUCCCCUUCGGGGGACAAAGUGACAGGUGGUGCAUGGUUGUCGUCAGCUCGUGUCGUGAGAUGUUGGGUUAAGUCCCGCAACGAGCGCAACCCUUAAGCUUAGUUGCCAUCAUUAAGUUGGGCACUCUAAGUUGACUGCCGGUGACAAACCGGAGGAAGGUGGGGAUGACGUCAAAUCAUCAUGCCCCUUAUGAUUUGGGCUACACACGUGCUACAAUGGACAAUACAAAGGGCAGCGAAACCGCGAGGUCAAGCAAAUCCCAUAAAGUUGUUCUCAGUUCGGAUUGUAGUCUGCAACUCGACUACAUGAAGCUGGAAUCGCUAGUAAUCGUAGAUCAGCAUGCUACGGUGAAUACGUUCCCGGGUCUUGUACACACCGCCCGUCACACCACGAGAGUUUGUAACACCCGAAGCCGGUGGAGUAACCUUUUAGGAGCUAGCCGU
rnacentral:rRNA from 1 species